GCGCCCCUCCUCGCAUUCAGUUGCUUGGUUGGGCGGGUCCGACGUGGCGCCAAAGGGGCCCCUCUCCCUUCACCGGGGGAGGGGACCUUGCUGCGUUGGGUUGGUCUUUAUCAACUAUCAACACCCCAACAAUACCUCACCUGAAGAAACAUUGCAGCCGGCCUGGCCGACUGCAUCUAACCAAGACAACUCUCAACAACGGAUAUCUUGGCUCUUGCAACGAUGAAGAACGCAGCGAAAUGCGAUACGUAGUGUGAAUUGCAGAAAACCGUGAACCAUCGAAUCUUUGAACGCAUAUUGCGCCCGCGGCUUCGGCCAAGGGCAUGUCUGCCUCAGCGUCGGGUUAAUACUCGCCCCACAUUCCCCUGUGAAUGUCUGGGACGGAUCUGGCCGUCCCAGCCCUCUCUCUUUUGAGAGAAGGCUGGGUCGGCUGAAGUGCAGAGGUUUGUUCAAGGACCCGCCAAGGGCCGCAGCUGGUUAGGCAGUGAUGCUAAACGAUUAGCUGUUGGCCUGGGUCCUGGGCGAGCCCUCAACCAGGAAACUCUUACAACUUAUUU
rnacentral:rRNA from 1 species